ACGACCUGACCCUGACAGAGGGGAGUGGGAGCAAGGCCAGUCAGUACUUGUGUUGUUCUCUGGUAAAGACUCGGCAUUAAGAACGCCAUUAUCUCCAUCUUCAAAGUCUUUAUUAAACACAAACGAGCCUGUUGUGUGUAGAAGAAGAAAAGGCGAAACGGGGCACGAAUGUCGUAAAUUGUGAAACCCCCCUGUGGUAAAACUUGAGACAAUGCUUUUCCAACCGCUCCGUGCCGAGAUUAACGAUUUAAAAAGACGGUUUUAUACUUCGAAAACGCUCGACUUUGAGUCACAUGGUUAUUGUCGUGAUGCUAAACGUGAGGGGACUUAAGUAUUCCCGUAACAUUUGCUAAGGUACCGUUCAGGAAUGGACAACAAAGAGCUGAGGGGGAAAAACACACACACACACACACACACUGGACCACAAAAGCCAACAGCUUCACGUACCUCGUCCAUUUCCUGGAUCAUUUUCGUCAGUUUCUCGUCGUCCUCGAGGAAUUCGUUGAGCUGCGUCAUCGUGUGAGCGUCGAACUUGUUGGAGAAAUUAGACAUUUUCGCUGAACUACUCAGACUGAGGGCCCAGUGCUGCGUUCACGAGCAUCACGGAAAUCACGCACAUCAUCAUCAACGCUCGCUCAUAAAUUAGAGCUACGUCACGGAUGUGACGUGUGCAGCUGCUUUUGUGUGGAUUAAAUCGUCAUAAUUACAUUGUCUUUGGUAAUAGCAAAGGCAUGUCUUUGGUUUGGACAACUGUCUAAUUUCCUCGUUAGUGCAUAUGCUGGGAAACUACUGUCGUUAAAAUGAUUGACAGAAAUGCUUUUUUUGUUCUUGUUUUUUACUGCACAUGCAAAAUAGCUGUUAACUUACUCUGGAACAAUUGUUAAAAUUGUCUGUUGUCACAAUAAUAAAUGUUGAAAUUCUG